rnacentral:rRNA from 1 species
AGCGAACGCUGGCGGCAGCCCUAACACAUGCAAGUCGAACGAAGUCUUCGGACUUAGUGGCGGACGGGUGAGUAACACGUGGGAACGUGCCUUUAGGUUCGGAAUAACUCAGGGAAACUUGUGCUAAUACCGAAUGUGCCCUUCGGGGGAAAGAUUUAUCGCCUUUAGAGCGGCCCGCGUCUGAUUAGCUAGUUGGUGAGGUAAAGGCUCACCAAGGCGACGAUCAGUAGUGGGUCUGAGAGGAUGAUCAGCCACACUGGGACUGAGACACGGCCCAAACUGCUUGGGGAGGCAGCUGUGGGGAAUCUUGCGAAAUGGGCGAAAUCCUGACGCAGCCAUGCCGCGUGAAUGAUGAAGGUCUGAGGAGUGUAAAAUUCUUUCACCGGGGACGAUAAUGACGGUACCCGGAGAAGAAGCCCCGGCUAACUUCGUGCCAGCCGCCGCCGUAA